rnacentral:rRNA from 1 species
UGGGGAAUCUUGGACAAUGGGGGCAACCCUGAUCCAGCCAUGCCGCGUGAGUGAUGAAGGCCUUAGGGUCGUAAAGCUCUUUCGCCUGUGAAGAUAAUGACGGUAGCAGGUAAAGAAACCCCGGCUAACUCCGUGCCAGCAGCCGCGGUAAUACGGAGGGGGUUAGCGUUGUUCGGAAUUACUGGGCGUAAAGCGCACGUAGGCGGAUCGGAAAGUUGGGGGUGAAAUCCCGGGGGCUCAACCCCGGAACUGCCUCCAAAACUAUCGGUCUAGAGUUCGAGAGAGGUGAGUGGAAUUCCGAGUGUAGAGGUGAAAUUCGUAGAUAUUCGGAGGAACACCAGUGGCGAAGGCGGCUCACUGGCUCGAUACUGACGCUGAGGGUGCGAAAAGUGUGGGGGAGCAAACAGGAUUUAGAUACCCUGGUAGUCCACACCGUAAACGAUGAAUGCCAGUCGUCGGGUAGCAUGCUAUUCGGUGACACACCUAACGGAUUAAGCAUUCCGCCUGGGGAGUACGGUCGC